GACGAACGCUGGCGGCGUGCUUAACACAUGCAAGUCGAACGGAAAGGCCCUGCUUUUGUGGGGUGCUCGAGUGGCGAACGGGUGAGUAACACGGGAGUAACCUGCCCUGGACUUUGGGAUAACUUCAGGAAACUGGGGCUAAUACCGGAUAGGAGCUCCUGCUGCAUGGGGGGGGUUGGAAAGUUUCGGCGGUUGGGGAUGGACUCGCGGCUUAUCAGCUUGUUGGUGGGGUAGUGGCUUACCAAGGCUUUGACGGGUAGCCGGCCUGGGAGGGUGACCGGCCACAUUGGGACUGAGAUACGGACCAGACUCCUACGGGAGGCAGCAGUCGGGAAUAUUGCACAAUGGGCGGAAGCCUGAUGCAGAAACGCCGCGUGCGGGAUGACGGCCUUCGGGUUGUAAACCGCUUUAGCCUGUGACGAAGCGUGAGUGACGGUAAUGGGUAAAGAAGCACCGGCUAACUACGUG
rnacentral:rRNA from 1 species